UGGAAUUGCUAAGUAACAAACUGCAGAUACUGAGCUGGCUCUCUGCAGCUGGGCUCACUGGACAGGCCUCUGCAGGCUGCCUCCCUCAUUGAGAAGUGGGUGCUUUACAGGAAUUCUGCUCAGCUGUUGAAGGUUUGGACACAGGGACCUGGAAGGGUCAGCUUCUCAACUGAAUAUGUGCUUGACAGUUGGACCUCUGCCUGAGCAAGUAUAAAGGCUGUGGUGUGUGCCAGUAUUCCUUAAUGGUUUGACUUUGUCCCAGUGCUACUCUUCUGAUUUAUUUCUGUUUUGGGCAUUAGGAUCAACUGCUUGUGUCCAUGAGUGCACGAUAAAGUAUAUGUUCUGGUAGGCAUGUAAGUUAGUAAAAGCAAAUAAUAGGAUUUGUACCAGUUACAAGCAAGAUUUUAAGAGUGAUUCACCACAACUUGUCAUAAAUAUUUGUAUGAAGGAUUCUGGAGUUAAGUGUUGAGGGGGUUGGAAAAUAAUUUUUUUUUUCUCUCCAAGGAAUAACGUCAUCCCUUUGUAUAUUAAUGCAUUGGGUCACGCGUUGUGGUUUUUGGCAAGGACAUGAACAUGCAUUAGGGUGCUCCUGUUGUAUCAGGGCUUUGUUUGAAGAGUGGUUUGAAAACCUCAGUUCAGAAUUGGGAUGAAGUACUAGUAAAACAUGUAUUUCAUGUUUUAAAAACUGCUUUUCUGUAAAUAUGUUCAGCUGUCUUAUAAAUUACGCUAACAAAACAAUUGUUUUUCCUCUCCAGCUCUAUUCUUAGGAUGUCCUUGUGAAGAAGGGGAUUGUAAGUCACACAUAUCUCUGAUGAGAGGUUACAGCUGUGAAACAGGAAUAGUUUUUUAACAGAAGUUUAAUGACUAGUUUCUGUGACAGCUACAACCUGCUAACUGCUAACCUGCUAAAGAUGAAAUAUAGUGAGUGGCACAGUGCUGGUUGGAUACUGAGCACACACAUGUUCCUAGGUGUAACCAGUCUGAGUACUUCUGCACUAGUAUGACCAGCUAGCAUCUUGCUAUAGUAACAAAGAAAAGCAUGAAAAUGCCUUUUGGGACUGAAAGUUUAGCAUUGUGGUCACAGUGAAAAUGGAGCCAUUUGUGAGUAUUUAACCCUGUAGUGUUAAAACAGGUUAACUACUUACCAAGCAACAAUAACACUGUAAACUUGCAACUUGUGCCAAGGCCUAGAAGGAAGAAGACCAGAAGCAGCUGGUAAGCUAAAGUGACUUCACUGAGCAGCUGCUAAGGGAGAAGAACUGCAAAAAGGAAGCAUUGGGCUCCUAGGAAGAGGUAGUAGGUUGCAUAGUUUUAGGGCAGGGAUUUUGCUCACAAGGAGGUAACUAUACAACCUGCUGCCUUUCUUAGGGCUUUAUUAUAACACCAGGACUGUUCUGGCUCCACCCUAACCUCUGCAGCUUUGGUAUGUAAAGACAAGCUAUUUCUAAGCAUAUGAAACCACUAUUGUCAGCAGACUUGGUACCAAACUCAAGUGUAAUGCUGCUAGCUGGAAUUCA
rnacentral:lncRNA from 14 species